rnacentral:rRNA from 1 species
AUUGAACGCUGGCGGCAGGCCUAACACAUGCAAGUCGAGCGGUAGCAGGCCUUCGGGUGCUGACGAGCGGCGGACGGGUGAGGAAUGCAUAGGAAUCUGCCUAUUAGUGGGGGAUAACACGGGGAAACUCGUGCUAAUACCGCAUACGUCCUACGGGAGAAAGUGGGGGAGCUUCGGACCUCACGCUAAUAGAUGAGCCUAUGCCGGAUUAGCUAGUUGGUAGGGUAAAGGCCUACCAAGGCGACGAUCCGUAGCUGGUCUGAGAGGAUGAUCAGCCACACUGGGACUGAGACACGGCCCAGACUCCUACGGGAGGCAGCAGUGGGGAAUAUUGGACAAUGGGCGCAAGCCUGAUCCAGCCAUGCCGUGUGUGUGAAGAAGGCCUUCGGGUUGUAAAGCACUUUAAGUGGGGAGGAAGGUCAGUAGAAUAAUACUCUGCUGAAUUGACGUUACCCACAGAAUAAGCACCGGCUAACUCUGUGCCAGCAGCCGCCGUAA